rnacentral:rRNA from 1 species
AUUGAACGCUGGCGGCAGGCCUAACACAUGCAAGUCGAACGAGUGGCGGACGGGUGAGUAAUGUCUGGGAAACUGCCCGAUGGAGGGGGAUAACUACUGGAAACGGUAGCUAAUACCCCAUACCAUCUGAUGUGCCCAGAUGGGAUUAGCUAGUAGGUGGGGUAACGGCUCACCUAGGCGACGCUCCCUAGCUGGUCUGCGAGGAUGACCAGCAACAUGGGAACUGGGACACGGGCCAGACGCCAAUGGGAGGAAGAGGUGGGGAAAAUGGAACAAUGGGGGCAAGCCUGAUGCGUCCAGGCCGCGGGGAUGAAAAAGGCCUGCGAGUUGUAAAGUACUUUCAGCGAGGAGGCGGUACUCACAGAAGAAGCACCGGCUAACUCCGUGCCAGCAGCCGCGGUAAUUC